AUUGAACGCUGGCGGCAGGCCUAACACAUGCAAGUCGAACGAGUUGCGGACGGGUGAGUAAUGUCUGGGAAACUGCCCGAUGGAGGGGGAUAACUACUGGAAACGGUAGCUAAUACCGCAUACCAUCGGAUGUGCCCAAUUUGGAUUAGCUAGUAGGUGGGGUAACGGCUCACCUAGGCGACCAUCCCUAGCUGGUCUGAGAGGAUGACCACCCACACGGGAACUGACACACGGUCCAGACUCCUACGGGAGGCAGCAGUGGGGAAUAUUGCACAAUGGGCGCAAGCCUGAUGCAGCCAUGCCGCGUGUAUGAAGAAGGCCUUCGGGUUGUAAAGUACUUUCAGCGAGGAGGCGUUACUCGCAGAAGAAGCACCGGCUAACUCCGUGCCAGCAGCCGCGGUAUUC
rnacentral:rRNA from 1 species